GACAGAGGUGCCAAGCGUUAGGCGGAAUCACUGGGCUUAAAGCGUGUGUAGGCGGAUCGUUAAGUGCCUUGUGAAAUCCCAUGGCUUAACCAUGGAACUGCUCGGCAUACUGGCGGUCUUGAGCCAUCUAGGGGCUACCGGAACAAAUGGUGGAGCGGUGAAAUGCGUAGAUAUCAGGAGGAACACCGGUGGCGAAGGCGGGACUCUGGGCCGAUACUGACGCUGAGGAGCGAAAGCGUGGGGAGCGAACAGG
rnacentral:rRNA from 1 species